GUUGUUGCUGUUGUUUAAAAACACCCACCAAAUGCUCUAAAAUCUUGAUGUAUACACGGGUGUGGAAUCGCUCCCAGAAGGCGUCAAGUUUUGAUGGACAGCUGUCUUCAUGCUGAAUGACACUUGUGGACCCAGCAGAGUGUGUGAGGCGUUUUGAGGGCAGUUGACCUGGCCUCCGCCUGGCAAUCGUGACAAGAAAAGGCCAUCACCCCCCUCUUUAAUCCACCUUCCCUUCACAACGGAGAGGAGUCAGUGAACCUUGUCCUCCUGACCCAAAGAAAGCCAAAAGGAACAAGGCCGGCCUGGGGGACGAGAGUGAGGGCUCUCCAUGGUUGGCCAGCGUAGGGAGCGCUCCCGCUGCUCCAGGCCACCCCCGGGGACUCUUGUCUCUCGCAUCGGGAGCUUGGAAAGAGGGCAAGGGGCCCCAGGACAUUUCAAUCCAAUUGGUACCAUGACAGAAGGCUUUGUUGUGGUCCUGUCACUCCGGCCAAGGUGUCAUGGCCUCCGUUGCCAGGACAACCUGAGGAGGCUGAAUGGACGGGGGCGGAAGGUGUAGGGUAGCCCCCUAGGAAAGAACAGUUGCCAAGUGGGACCUGCCACAAAACGUGGCACUGUGGACUCCGUAGGGUGGAGGCGUGAAAAGGAGGACAGGGAUCCCACUUCUCUAAUAACUAUGUGGAAGGAGAGACGUCCACAGGGGUAGCUUCCAUGCAAGUUACGUCAGCAGGCAUUCCCCCUUCCACCCAACGGCUGAAGUCCCUGGUGCUGGAUCAGCUACAUGUCCUGAGGCAGACCGCUUCCAGUUGCGUUGCACUACAAUACCCAUCAUCCUUGACUAGUCAGCUAGAGGUAAUGGGGCCAUCUGAAUGCAGCCUGGUGUUGAAAUUUCUGAAGCUUUACACACACAGCAGAUCAAGUACUUCAGCACCUCAUAUGCCAGGCAAAAGAGACCUAAUGAAUGCCAUGGGACUGAGUUUGAGGACCCGGUUUGCACCUUCUCCCUGGUAGGUCACAGAAUAGAACCAAAAUGUUAUCCCACAGUUUUAAGUGUUGUUGUUGCUAUGUGAUGUCAAGAACCAACUUAUAGGGACCGUCCGAUAUUUAAGGAGCGGCUUUACCAGUUCAACACCCC
rnacentral:lncRNA from 1 species